rnacentral:rRNA from 1 species
UACGGGGGGGGCAAGCGUUGUUCGGAAUUACUGGGCGUAAAGGGCGCGUAGGCGGCGUGACAAGUCACUUGUGAAAUCUCCGGGCUUAACUCGGAGCGGCCAAGUGAUACUGUCGUGCUAGAGUGCGGAAGGGGCUACUGGAAUUCUCGGUGUAGCGGUGAAAUGCGUAGAUAUCGAGAGGAACACCUGCGGCGAAGGCGGGUAGCUGGGCCGACACUGACGCUGAGGCGCGAAAGCUAGGGGAGCGAACGGG